GACCUCGGAUCAGGUAGGGAUACCCGCUGAACUUAAGCAUAUCAAUAAGCGGAGGAAAAGAAACCAACAGGGAUUGCCUUAGUAACGGCGAGUGAAGCGGCAACAGCUCAAAUUUGAAAGCUGGCUCCUUUGGGGUCCGCGUUGUAAUUUGUAGAGGAUGAUUCGGCAAGGGCUCCCGCCUAAGUCUCCUGGAACGGAGCGUCAUAGAGGGUGAGAAUCCCGUAUGCGGUGGGCUGCCUAAGCCAUGUGAAUCUCCUUCGACGAGUCGAGUUGUUUGGGAAUGCAGCUCUAAAUGGGAGGUAAAUUUCUUCUAAAGCUAAAUACCGGCCAGAGACCGAUAGCGCACAAGUAGAGUGAUCGAAAGAUGAAAAGCACUUUGGAAAGAGAGUUAAAAAGUACGUGAAAUUGUUGAAAGGGAAGCGCUUGCAGCCAGACUUGUCCGCAGUUGCUCAGCCGGUCUCCUGACCGGUGUACUCUUCUGCGGCCAGGCCAGCAUCAGUUCGGGCGGUCGGAUAAAGACCUCGGGAAUGUAGCUCCUCUCGGGGAGUGUUAUANCCCGGGGGUGGAAUGCGGCCAGCCUGGACUGAGGAUCUCG
rnacentral:rRNA from 1 species